GGAGGGGUGCCAGAGCGGUCGAAUGGAGCCCGCUUGAAACGGGCCAGGCGCCGCAAGGCGCCUCGGGGGUUCGAAUCCCUCCCCCUCCGCCA
rnacentral:tRNA from 1 species